rnacentral:rRNA from 1 species
GACGAACGCUGGCGGCGUGCUUAACACAUGCAAGUCGAACGGAAAGGCCCUGCUUUUGUGGGGUGCUCGAGUGGCGAACGGGUGAGUAACACGUGAGUAACCUGCCCUUGACUUUGGGAUAACUUCAGGAAACUGGGGCUAAUACCGGAUAGGAGCUCCUGCUGCAUGGUGGGGGUUGGACAGUUUCGGCGGUUGGGGAUGGACUCGCGGCUUAUCAGCUUGUUGGUGGGGUAUUGGCUUACCAAGGCUUUGACGGGUAGCCGGCCUGAGAGGGUGACCGGCCACAUUGGGACUGAGAGACGGCCCAGACGCCUACGGGAGGCAGAAGUGGGGAAUAUGGCACAAUGGGCGGAAGCCUGAUGCAGCAACGCCGCGUGCGGGAUGACGGCCUUCGGGUGGUAAACCGCUUUCGCCUGUGACGAAGCGUGAGUGACGGUAAUGGGUAAAGAAGCACCGGCUAACUACGUG